rnacentral:tRNA from 1 species
UCCCUGGUGGUCCAGUGGCUAAGACUCCGUGCUCCCAGUGCAGGGGGGCCCGGGUUCAAUCCCCGGUCAGGGAG